AUCUAUGGCCAUAUCACCCUGGAUGCAACUGAUCUUCUCUGAUCUCAGAAGCUAAGCAGGGUUGGGCCUGGUUAGUACUUGGAUGGGAGAAAGAUCUUGUUGGUAUACAGG
rnacentral:rRNA from 1 species